UGGGGAAUAUUGCACAAUGGGCGAAAGCCUGAUGCAGCAACGCCGCGUGAGUGAUGAAGGUCUUCGGAUUGUAAAGCUCUGUCUUUUGGGACGAUAAUGACGGUACCAAAGGAGGAAGCCACGGCUAACUACGUGCCAGCAGCCGCGGUAAUACGUAGGUGGCGAGCGUUGUCCGGAUUUACUGGGCGUAAAGGGUGCGUAGGCGGAUGUUUAAGUGAGAUGUGAAAUACCCGGGCUUAACUUGGGUGCUGCAUUUCAAACUGGAUAUCUAGAGUGCAGGAGAGGAGAAUGGAAUUCCUAGUGUAGCGGUGAAAUGCGUAGAGAUUAGGAAGAACACCAGUGGCGAAGGCGAUUCUCUGGACUGUAACUGACGCUGAGGCACGAAAGCGUGGGUAGCAAACAGGAUUAGAUACCCUGGUAGUCCACGCCGUAAACGAUGAGUACUAGGUGUAGGAGUAUCGACCCCUUCUGUGCCGCAGUAAACACAUUAAGUACUCCGCCUGGGAAGUACGAUCGCAAGAUUAAA
rnacentral:rRNA from 1 species